rnacentral:rRNA from 1 species
UGUCGUCAGCUCGUGUCGUGAGAUGUUGGGUUAAGUCCCGUAACGAGCGCAACCCACGCCUUUAGUUGCCAUCAUUUCAGUUGGGCACUCUAGAGGGACAGCCCCGGUUAACGGGGGAGGAAGGUGUGGAUGACGUCAAGUCCUCAUGGCCCUUAUGGCCAGGGCUACACACGUACUACAAUGGGCGGUACAAAGGGCAGCUACAUCGCGAGGUGGAGCCAAUCCCCCAAAACCGUUCUCAGUCCGGAUCGGAGUCUGCAACUCGACUCCGNGAAGUUGGAAUCGCUAGUAAUCGUGGAUCAGCAAGCCACGGUGAAUACGUUCCCGGGCCUUGUACACACCGCCCGUCUCA